rnacentral:rRNA from 1 species
UACGGAGGAUGCAAGCGUUAUCCGGAAUGAUUGGGCGUAAAGCGUCCGCAGGUGGCACUGUAAGUCUGCUGUCAAAGCGUCUGGCUCAACCAGAUAAAGGCAGUGGAAACUACAUAGCUAGAGUACGGUAGGGGCAGAGGGAAUUUCCGGUGGAGCGGUGAAAUGCAUUGAGAUCGGAAAGAACACCAACGGCGAAAGCACUCUGCUGGGCCGACACUGACACUGAGAGACGAAAGCUAGGGGAGCAAAUGGG